AAGGUCACUUGAAUCAUCCACAGGCGUCGGCCUGGGGGUAUAUAAUGGCUGCUUUGUGGUGGAGAUUGAUUCACUCCCUACCCUCGGUCCUCCUGGCAUCACUUGCAAGUCUACUGCCGUCAAAAGCUCCGCACACAACUCCAUCAUGAGGUACAGCUUCAUGCUACUACUAUGUCUACUGGCCGUUGCCUGUGUCGUCUCAGGAUACAAUCAGCCAAUUGAAAAUACUCAAGAUUUGGGAGCCCGGAAUCCCGAUCGACAGAACAGAGGAUCUGUCAGGUUCUUGAGCAGUGAAGAGAGCAGCGAGGAGAGCAGUGAAGAGCACGGGCAUGGCAGAGCUAACUAUCGCAACAAACGGUGAAGGCAUCACAGACAAUGAAUGCGUUCUACCGGAUGCAGAACGACAAUCACUGCUUUCACCUACAGCUUGAAUAUAGAUUCGGCGAAAUAACUAUGAGGAAAUUCGCUUUCUGCACGACUACCAUCAAAUAUCUGCACAUGGCAACACUGAAAAAUAUUGUUCAAUAUAAACUUAGUAUAACUGAAGCACAAACAGAAAACUCGUACGAAGAAAAAUAGGUGUUAUUGUAUUUAAAAAUAAUCCUUAAAAACAAAGAAUUUUAUGGAAAGGAAUAUGCAAUGAUAACAUAAAAUAAGUUCAGACAACUAAAAUUUAUAUUAUAAAUUAAUAUAAUAACACCGAAACCCCCAAGAAAGUCAGACAGAUCAAUUAACAUCAACUGUUUUAAUUAAAUAAUCAAAAUCAUCAAUAAACGUGCAUUUUUUAUACGCCAAAAAUUUUAAUAUUUGUGCAUAAUCUAACUGAAAAGAAGUAUUUUCUAGCAACAUGAAAUACAAUAUAACUUUGCCUAUGAAACAAAUUUCUUUCUAAUAAAUUGUAGUGUUAAA